UAUGGCCAGAUCAUGUUGAAACACCUAUUCUCAUCCGGUCAUCAAAGUUAAGCAAUGUUGAGCUUAGUCAGUACUUAGAUGGAUAACUGCUUGAGAAUUCCAGGUGCUGUAAG